rnacentral:rRNA from 1 species
GAUCCUGGCUCAGGAUGAACGCUAGCUACAGGCUUAACACAUGCAAGUCGAGGGGCAGCAUGGUCUUAGCUUGCUAAGGCCGAUGGCGACCGGCGCACGGGUGAGUAACACGUAUCCAACCUGCCGUCUACUCUUGGACAGCCUUCUGAAAGGAAGAUUAAUACAAGAUGGCAUCAUGAGUCCGCAUGUUCACAUGAUUAAGUAAUCCGUACGACGAUGGGAG